rnacentral:rRNA from 1 species
AUUGAACGCUGGCGGCAGGCUUAACACAUGCCAGUCGAACGAGUGGCGGACGGGUGAGUAAUGCUUGGGAAUCUAGCUUAUGGAGGGGGAUAACUACGGGAAACUGUAGCUAAUACCGCAUACCAUAGGAUGAGCCCAAGUGGGCUUAGGUAGUUGGUGGGGGAAAGGCUCCCCAAGCCGCAGAUCUCUAGCUGGUCUGAGAGGAUGACCAGCCACACUGGAACGGCGACACGGUCCAGACUCCUAAGGGAGGCAGCAGGGGGGAAGAGUGAGAAAAGGGGGCAACCUGACGCAGCCAUGCCGCGUGAAUGAAGAAGGCCUUCGGGUUGUAAAGUUAUUUCGGGAGCGAGGCGUUAACUACAGAAGAAGCACCGGCUAAAUCCGUGCCAGCAGCCGCGGUAAUAC